GGGGAGAUUCAUCGUCAGCGGCGCAGGCUUCGCGAUGGCUCGCGAUGUCGGCGGACCUCGGUAAAACGGGGAUCCCGCACGGCACGCGGCCGUCGCGCAACGUCCGGCGACGUCGGCGUGCACUUCUCCCCUUGUAGAACGUCGCGACCCGUUGGGUGUCGGCCUAAGGCACGGGUGGGCGCCUGUCGCGUGUCGCCUCACGGCGCACGCGGCAGACCCCCGUACGCCAGUUUUACGCCGACUGCCCGACGGUACACGCAUGGUAUCGAGCCGCAAGUUUUUAACUGCGUCGGACCCGCCGCAAGCGCGGCCAGUUUUAAUGCCGGGAGUCGCGGACCUAGCGCCGUCCCUGGUGCUGGCCAGCUGUUGGUUGGCGGUGUUCUCCGACUGGCCGAAACUUAAACACAGAAUACCGGUCGGCGACGCUACUGCUUUGGGUAAUCUCAGGACCCGUCUUGAAACACGGACCAAGGAGUCUAACAUGUACGCGAGUCAUUGGGACCGCAUACCUAAAGGCGAAAUGAAAGUAAAGAUCGAUCUUAGCGUCGAUCGAGGGAGGAUGGGUCGCGUCACGAUGCGACCCCGCACUCCCGGGGCGUCUCGUUUCUCAU
rnacentral:rRNA from 1 species